CAGACCCGAAUUCGAUUAUCCAUUGAUGGCAAAAGCCACAUCAGAUAGGUUUCAUAGAAUAAAACAAAACACGGCAUGACAAAUAUUCAUAUCAUUUUCACAUAAAAAUAUACUUAGGGCAUAGCCCUUAUUUAACAAGAAAACCCACCUCAAACGCUUAACUCCCGAAUCACUUUCUGCUCCAACCACAAACAACGUGCAAAAGUUCACCCUUUUAUAAUAACAUGAUAUGCUAAAAAUUAGAUUUUGUAAAAUUACUUAAUUUAAAAACGAUGCAUGCAUCCUACGUGUGUGUGCUCAAAUUAUCCUUUAUUCUUUCAUAGAGAAAACUUAAUAUAACAAACUCAGUCCAAAGACAGAUGGAAUUACUAGGUUAAACACGAAAGUCCCAACUAUCUCUUGUUAUCCCGAUCACCACUAAAUUGAAAUAGACCCAAGUAUUUGAAUUCUAACUUCUGAUUAAUGCUAACUAAUUCAGCCAAUUAUUUGGUUGACCAAUCAACAAAACUAAAGAGAGAAAAAGAGUAACAUGAUAUACUACCAAAUCGCAACACGUCUACCCCUAGGAAACAGUUCCUCUCUCUCUCAUUUUCAAAAGGAACAAAACAAAAAUUAUUAAAUUACUCCCUACCACCACACGUACAUACUCUCUCUCACUCUAGCUCUCAACCUCACGCCCUCUCUUUCUACAAAACACCCACUCUUUCUCGCCUGAACAGAAGCUAAAGUCCAACAAUUAAACUGCAAUCUUCCGCUCACUUCUCCCUUGUUCCCAUCGCACUGCCCCGUUCUGUCCGGCUCCGCCGCAGCCUCUCCUUCGCACCGUUUCUGCCUCCGUCCAGGCGUCGCGCUCCAACACAACAGGAUUUCGUGGGUUACACAAUUUCUAUAGAAUCAAAGAUUGGAGCUUGAACAUACUGUGUUAUGUGUUAUGUGAAACAUGAAGCUAUGCCUUGAACGAAACUUGGGAGAUUUCAGAAGUAGAGAAAAUUACCUUUGGAGGAAGAAAAUUUGCACAAGCAGAUCACAACUUUCUUGGUUUCUCUUUCACACUUUUGGAGGAACAGAAGAAAAGAAUUGCAGCAGGUUUGAAAGGAUCGUGAAUGUGAGAUAUUUAUAGGCAAAACUGAUAGAUAUUGAUGGAUUUGGUGUUUGGAGAGAUUUUAGGGAGUAGGGAUAUUGAUGAAAAAAAACGUGUAGAAUGAAAUUAGGAGAAGGAAAUUCAUGUUGACUGG